UACGUAGGCAGCGAGCGUUGUUCGGAGUUACUGGGCGUAAAGCGUGCGUAGGCGGUGUCUUAAGUUUGUUGUGAAAUCUCCCGGCUUAACCGGGAGGGUGCGGCGAAUACUGAGAUGCUGGAGUGCCGGAGAGGUAAGCGGAAUUCCUGGUGUAGCGGUGAAAUGCGUAGAUAUCAGGAGGAACACCCAUGGCGAAGGCAGCAAACUGGUCAUCAACUGACGCUGAGGCGCGAAAGCGUGGGUAGCAAACAGG
rnacentral:rRNA from 1 species